UGAAUCUAAACUUAACUUAAAACAACUCUCAGCAACGGAUAUCUUGGCUCUUGCAACGAUAAAACGCAGCGAAAUGCGAUACGUAGUGUGAAUUGCAGAAUUCCGCGAAUCAUCGAGUUUUUGAACGCAGUUGCGCCCGAGCUGUCGAGG
rnacentral:rRNA from 1 species